UUUUGGCUUUUUGGGGUCUUUUGAGGUCCCAUAUAUAUCUUAGGAGUACUUUUUUCUAUUUCUGUUAAAUAAUGCCAUUGGAAUAUUCAUAGUGAUUGCACUGAAUCUACAGAUGGCUUCUGGUAGUAUUGACAUUUUAACGGUAUUAAUUCUUCCAAUCUAUGAGCAUAAGCUAUCUUUCCAUUU